rnacentral:rRNA from 1 species
AGCGAACGCUGGCGGCAUGCUUAACACAUGCAAGUCGCACGGGCAGCAAUGUCAGUGGCGGACGGGUGAGUAACGCGUAGGAACGUGUCCUGAGGUGGGGGACAACCCCGGGAAACUGGGGCUAAUACCGCAUAUGGGCUGAGGCCCAAAGCCGAGAGGCGCCUUUGGAGCGGCCUGCGUCCGAUUAGGUAGUUGGUGGGGUAAAGGCCUACCAAGCCUGCGAUCGGUAGCUGGUCUGAGAGGACGACCAGCCACACUGGGACUGAGACACGGCCCAGACUCCUACGGAAGGCAGCAGUGGGGAAUAUUGGACAAUGGGCGAAAGCCUGAUCCAGCAAUGCCGCGUGGGUGAAGAAGGUCUUCGGAUCGUAAAGCCCUUUCGACGGGGACGAUGAUGACGGUACCCGUAGAAGAAGCCCCGGCUAACUUCGUG